rnacentral:rRNA from 1 species
GAUGAACGCUGGCGGCGUGCCUAACACAUGCAAGUCGAGCGAGAUUAAGUGUAGUGGAGACUUCGGUCAAAGUGAAGCUUAUGAAAGCGGCGGACGGGUGAGUAACGCGUGGGCAACCUGCCCCAUACAGAGGGAUAGCCACUGGAAACGGUGAUUAAUACCUCAUAAGUCAGUAGGGUCGCAUGAUUUAGCUGACAAAGAUUUAUCGGUAUGGGAUGGGCCCGCGUCUGAUUAGCUAGUUGGUGAGGUAACGGCUCACCAAGGCGACGAUCGAUAGCCGACCUGAGAGGGUGAUCGGCCACACUGGAACUGAGACACGUUCCAGACUCCUACGGGAGGCAGCAGUGGGGAAUAUUGCACAAUGGGCGCAAGCCUGAUGCAGCAACGCCGCGUGAGUGAUGAAGGCCUUCGGGUUGUAAAACUCUGUCCUAUGGGAAGAAACAAAUGACGGUACCAUGGGAGGAAGCCCCGGCUAACUACGUGCCAGCAGCCGCCGUAAUAC